AGUGAACGCUGGCGGUAGGCCUAACACAUGCAAGUCGAACGGCAGCACAGUAAGAGCUUGCUCUUACGGGUGGCGAGUGGCGGACGUGAGGAAUACAUCGGAAUCUACUUUUUCGUGGGGGAUAACGUAGGGAAACUUACGCUAAUACCGCAUACGACCUACGGGUGAAAGCAGGGGAUCUUCGGACCUUGCGCGAUUGAAUGAGCCGAUGUCGGAUUAGCUAGUUGGCGGGGUAAAGGCCCACCAGGGCGACGAUCCGUAGCUGGUCUGAGAGGAUGAUCAGCCACACUGGAACUGAGACACGGUCCAGACUCCUACGGGAGGCAGCAGUGGGGAAUAUUGGACAAUGGGCGCAAGCCUCAUCCAGCCAUACCGCGUGGGUGAAGAAGGCCUUCGGGUUGUAAAGCCCUUUUGUUGGGAAAGAAAAGCAGCAGGUUAAUACCCCGCUGUUCUGACGGUACCCAAAGAAUAAGCACCGGCUAACUUCGUG
rnacentral:rRNA from 1 species